UACAGAGACUGCAAGCGUUAUUCGGAUUCACUGGGCGUAAAGGGUGCGCAGGCGGCCAAGUGUGUGAGGCGUGAAAGCCCGGGGCUUAACCCCGGAAUUGCACCUCAAACUACACGGCUAGAGCAUUGGAGAGGGUAGCAGAAUUCACGGUGUAGCAGUGAAAUGCGUAGAUAUCGUGAGGAAUACCAGAGGCGAAGGCGGCUACCUGGACAAUUGCUGACGCUGAACGGCGAAAGCUAGGGGAGCAAACGGG
rnacentral:rRNA from 1 species